CCAGACUUGACAUGCAAGUGGUAGGGACCCGAAAGGGAACCGACCCGCAAGGGAGCUUGCACAGGUGUUGCACGGCUGUCGUCAGCUCGUGUCGUGAGAUGUUGGGUUAAGUCCCGCAACGAGCGCAACCCUCGGGGUCUGUUGUAUCACUCAGACCCGACUGCCGAGAGAAACUCGGAGGAAGGUGGGGAUGACGUCAAGUCAGCGUGGCCUUUAUGUCUGGGGCUACACGCACGCUACAAUCGCCGGUCACAACGGGUUGCGACACAGUAAUGUGAAGCUAAUCCCCUAAAACCGGCGUCAGUUCAGAUCGGAGGCUGCAACUCGCCUCCGUGAAGUCGGAGUUGCUAGUAACCGCAGGUCAGCACACUGCGGUGAAUAUGUUCCC
rnacentral:rRNA from 1 species